UCCGAGUUGUCCCCGGCAGUCUCCUUAGAGUCCCCGGCAUUACCCGCUGGCAACUAAGGACAGGGGUUGCGCUCGUUGCGGCACUUAAGCCAACACCUCACGGCACGAGCUGACGACAGCCAUGCAGCACCUGUGCUGGCCCCUUACGGAGCCCUGCUUUCACAGGGUUUAACCAGCAUGUCAAGCCCAGGUAAGGUUCUUCGCGUUGCAUCGAAUUAAGCCACAUGCUCCGCCGCUUGUGCGGGUCCCCGUCAAUUCCUUUGAGUUUUAGCCUUGCGGCCGUACUCCCCAGGCGGAGUGCUUAAUGCGUUAGCUGCGGCACAGAGAGGGUUGAAGACCUCCCCACACCUAGCACUCAACGUUUACGGCUGGGACUAC
rnacentral:misc_RNA from 1 species